AAAGUUUGAUCCUAGCUCAGGAUGAAUGCUGGCGACAUGGAUAAGGCAUGCAAGUCGAGUGGGUUUAGACCCACGGCAGACGAGGUAGUAACACGUAGGAACAUACCCCAAAGUCAGGAAUAAUUCGGCGAAAGCCGAGCUAAUACUUGAUACCCCGUAAGGGAAAAGAUUUAUCGCUCUGGGAGUGGCCUGCGCAAUAUCAGCUAGUUGGUGAGGUAAUGGCUCACCAAGGCUAAGACGUUUAGGGGAGCUGAGAGGCAGACCCCCACCGAUGGAACUGAGAAACGGUCCUUACUCCUACGGGAGGCCGCAGUCGAGAAUCUUCCACAAUGGGCGCAAGCCUGAUGGAGCGAUGUCGCGUGAUGGAUGAAGUGCUUCGGUACGUAAACAUCUUUUAUGAGGGAAAAAGUUUUGAUUGUACCUCAUGAAUAAGGGGCUCCUAACUCUGUGCCAGCAGGAGCGGUAAUACAGAGGCCCCAAGCAUUAUCCGGAUUUACUGGGCGUAAAGGGUGCGUAGAUGGUCGUGUUAGUCGUUUGUUAAAUCCCGGAGCUUAACUCCGGACUCGCAAGCGAAACGGCACGACUCGAGGGUGCGAGAGGUAUGUGGAACUCAUGGUGUAGGGGUAAUAUCCGUUGAUAUCAUGGGGAACACCGAAAGCGAAGGCAGCAUACUGGCGCAUUCCUGACAUUGAUGCACGAAAGCUAGGGUAGCGAACGGGAUUAGAUACCCCGGUAGUCCUAGCCCUAAACGAUGAUCGCUGGUUUCUUGGAGUAUCGACCCUCUGGGAGACGAAGCUAACGCGUUAAGCGAUCCGCCUGGGUAGUACGAUCGCAAGAUUAAAACUCAAAGGAAUAGACGGGGGCUCGCACAAGCGGUGGAGCGUGUGGCUUAAUUCGUCGCUAAACGAAGAACCUUACCAAGGUUAGAAAUCCAGCUGCAUACUGCGGAAACGUAGUAGCCUUCGAGGGUGCUGGACAGGUGAUGCAUGGCUGUCGUCAGUUCGUGGUUUGAACUGUUCCCUUCAGUGGGGUAACGAACGCAACCCUUGUUGUCUGUUAUACGUAUCAGGCGAGACUGCCCCCUCACGGGGGAGGAAGGUAAGGAUGACGCCAAGUCAGCAUGUCCCUCUGAUAUCUUGGGCCGCACACGCGCUACAAUGGCAUGAACAACGGGACGCGAAGCCGCGAGGUGGAGCAAAUCCUUCAAAUCAUGCCUCAGUUCGGAUUGCAGGCUGCAACUCGCCUGCAUGAAGCUGGAAUCGCUAGUAAUCGUGGGUCAGCUAUACCACGGUGAAUACGUUCUCGAGCCUUGUACUCACCGCC
rnacentral:rRNA from 1 species